rnacentral:rRNA from 1 species
UACGGAGGGUGCAAGCGUUGUCCGAAUUUAUUGGGUUUAAAGGGUGCGUAGGCGGCUUAUUAAGUCAGGGGUGAAAGACUAUUGCUUAACAAUGGCAGUGCCUUUGAUACUGAUAGGCUUGAGUACAUUUGAGGCAGAUGGAACGGGUGGUGUAGCGGUGAAAUGCAUAGAUACCAUCCAGAACACCGAUUGCGAAGGCAGUCUGCUAAACUGUAACUGACGCUGAGGCACGAAAGCGUGGGGAUCGAACAGG